CCGAGUGGCGGACGGGUGAGUAACGCGUGGGUAACCUGCCUCAUACAGGGGGAUAACGGUUAGAAAUGACUGCUAAUACCGCAUAAGCGCACAGUACCGCAUGGUACGGUGUGAAAAACUCCGGUGGUAUGAGAUGGACCCGCGUCUGAUUAGGUAGUUGGUGGGGCAACGGCCUACCAAGCCAACGAUCAGUAGCCGACCUGAGAGGGUGACCGGCCACAUUGGGACUGAGACACGGCCCAA
rnacentral:rRNA from 1 species